rnacentral:rRNA from 1 species
UAGCAUAUCAAUAAGCGGAGGAAAAGAAACUAACAAGGAUUCCCCUAGUAACUGCGAGUGAAGCGGGAAGAGCUCAAAUUUUGAAUCUGGCGGUCUUCAGGCCGUCCGAGUUGUAAUCUAGAGAAGCGUCUUCCGCGCUGGACCGUGUACAAGUCUCCUGGAAGGGAGCGUCGUAGAGGGUGAGAAUCCCGUCUUUGACACGGACCGCCAGUGCUAUGUGAUGCGCUCUCGACGAGUCGAGUUGUUUGGGAAUGCAGCUCAAAACGGGUGGUAAAUUCCAUCUAAAGCUAAAUACAGGCGAGAGACCGAUAGCGAACAAGUACCGUGAGGGAAAGAUGAAAAGAACUUUGGAAAGAGAGUUAAACAGUACGUGAAAUUGCUGAAAGGGAAACGCUUGAUGUCAGUCGCGUCGGCCAGGAAUCAACCUUGCUUCUCGCUGGGUGUACUUCCUGGUCGACGGGUCAGCAUCAGUUUCGGUCGCCGUACAAGGGCGAGGGGAACGUGGCACCCUUCGGGGUGUGUUAUAGCCUUUCGUCGCAUGCGGCGGUCGGGACUGAGGAACUCAGCACGGCUUCCGUCUGUGCUUAGGAUGCUGGCAUAAUGGCCUUAAGCGACCCGUCUUGAAACACGGACCAAGGAGUCUAACAUGCCUGCGAGUGUUUGGGUGACAAACCCGAGCGCGUAAUGAAAGUGAAAGUUGAGACCUCUGUCGUGGAGGGCAUCGACGCCCGGACCCGAGUCUUUGACGAAGGAUCUGCGGUAGAGCAUGCAUGUUGGGACCCGAAAGAUGGUGAACUAUGCCUGAAUAGGGUGAAGCCAGAGGAAACUCUGGUGGAGGCUCGUAGCGAUUCUGACGUGCAAAUCGAUCGUCGAAUUUGGGUAUA